rnacentral:lncRNA from 1 species
GGGGGUACUUUGACUUUGAAAUGGGACUCGCUGUCAGGUCUUGAGGCCCCACCUGCAGAUGUGGCCGUGGUGGGGAUGGAGCUGCCAGGGCGUGGAACCUUGGGGGAGGUGCGGUCCCGCCACCCCAAGGCUUCCCUGCCUGACGUGGAGGCUGGGGGCAGGACUCCCCACUCCCCUCCCCCUCCAGCGCUGGGAGCUGAUGCCCCACGUGUGCCGUGUUCUUCCAGGUCUGCUUCUCGGUCCACCUCCAAGGGCCCCCGAGCUGCUCACCCCAGCGACCGUCAGCUGGCGGGGGCCUUGGUGCGUGUCCUGCUGCCCCUGCCCCUGCCCCUUGGGAGGGAGAGGCGCCCAGGCACCCAGCCCUGGGGGACGGCGCCUGGGUCCCAACAGAGAGCGGCUUCAUCACCACGUCUUAUUCCUCUGGCUUCUCUUUGGAGGAGAAAAACAUGUAGAAAAUGCAAAGAGAGAUCAGCCCCACUUGCCCAGCUGGGCAGCCGUGAGAAAGUUCCUGCUCUCUGGGCUAAGGAACGGCAGAAACUCCACCCACAAACCCCAGACGCCCAGCCGUCCCGCCUGCAGGUCACAGCCCGCCCCCCACCUCGCAGAAGCAUGCCAUGGCAAGGCCAUAUCCCAGAUUAAAUGCCAGGCACGUGGUUUGCCCAGUAAUCUUUGAAUGCUUAAUUUAUUUACUUGAAAGCUCUUAUGGAGGCUAUUCCGUCACCUUUACGGAUCUGGUUAAAGAAUCGCCCAUAUUUAAAAGAAAAAAGUUAUUUGAAACCAGGACUGUUUCCUCAUCUGGGAGGGGACACAGGGUACGUCCACCUGCUGAGUCAGGGGUGCAGGUAGCAGCGCCUGGAGGCCCCCAGGGAGCACCCUCCCGUGCUUGCUGCACCAAGCAAGUCUUGAACUGGGGUCACCCUCCAUGUUGGCGGCUCCGUGCCCAUACCUGGAGCACCACCGCCGUGCCAUCGCCGUGGUGCAGGGGAGCUGGGUUUGGAAAGGAAGUGAGGUCACACACGGCCUGGGCUCGAGGUGACAGGAGGACAGAGGCCACAGAGGGGCCCUGGACAUGCAGCCUAUCCAAACCAUGCCUGGGAGAAUGGACAUAUUACUCGGGACACUGGGCCCAAGCACGCCUGUGAACUCGGUACCGCCCUGUAACUCAGAGGCCAUGCUGGGCCACACGAAGUGGUUUCACGCCUGAAAAAAUCUCUAGGAAAAGAUGCCACCUGCAGCCACUGGAGGUCCCAACCCCGCCAGGGCCCAUUCCUUUGCUGGGAUGGGGGGUGGUGACCCCAGCUUCCCCUUGGCUCUUGGGGGCCCUGGGGCUUGUGAUGAGAGCUCUGGAAACUCCCUGCAGGGCCCCACCCUCCUGCUCUUUCCUUCACCAACUGCUGGCAUCAGCCUGUUAGGAUCAUAAGCCAUUUACUGGUUAUGCCAUUGCCGCCGCUCAGCCACCUUCCUACACGUAAGCUGUUAGUGGGGCCCCGUGUAUUAGAACUAUUAACGCACCAGCGUCUGCCACAGCUAACCCUAAUAAACCACGUGUUUUCUG